UGUGUGUUGCAGCUUUCUCUUGGUACAGAUUACCCAGCCAUUGGCUGGGAUCUGUCUCACCUAACUUCAGUUCAGAACUAGUUGCUUCAUCUAUCUGCAGUGAAGAUGCAUGGGACCUGUUGGAAGAAAAUUCACCUCAUAUGCCUUUUUAGAUGGAUAUAUCACUGAUUAUAAGGAAAAAUUAUACAAAUUGUUUAUAGUAAGUUUCUAAUUUGAGAUGGCUAUUGUUAGGUAAGCAGAAUCCUGCCGUAAAAACUAAAUUUCCUAUAUUUUGCACAAAUAAAAUUAAAAAUAACUUUGGGACACGAAUUAAAGUGUCCCAAAUCCUCUGUGAAUGUGCCCCAUUCAUUAGGAAAAAAUGCAAUACUGCAUAAUCAUUCCUAGUACUCAGUAUUAUAUGCCAACAAGUUGUAGCAUGAAUAUAAACAUUGUGCUGGCAGGGCAAGAGUGACUUUUGGAAAUUUUCUUUUCAGAAUAAGCAAAGCUGCUAUAUCGCCUGCAGAAAAAAAAGGUAGAACAAUAUAUCAAAUAAAUGUUCCAGCAUAGGCCUUCCUAUUCAUAUUCUGUCAGGCUAGAGGUUAUCAAUGGUUAUUUAGUUGUGUUUAGUAAACAGUAUGCCUUGAGAUACAGACAUUGUGCCAGUAGUCCUCAUUUGUAAAAUGGAACAGUCUGGAAGUUAUUCUAGGAUGUUUGAUUAUUUUUUUUUUAGAUAGGUCCUUACUCAUUGGUGGUGUUGUGUUCCUCAGAUCACUGUUAAAAAUAUUUUCUCUUAAUGAUUUUCUUUUUCCUUCAGUUAAGAAGUUGUGAUUGGAGUCUCAAAGGUCAGAGGCAAAGACAGAGGCAAAGACUGAGCUUAAAGGCCAGAUUCAGAUGCUGGAAAGAAGGAAUGAACAUGGUCUUCUAUACACCAUUCUUUCCCUAUGUUAAUACCUUUCCCCUAUGCCCACUGGGUCAGCUCAUCAGUUAUGUGUCUUAUCUAAAACUGUAUGCUUUAGAAGAAGCAAGAAAGGACAAAAGAUAAACUGUGAUAAAUAUGAUAACAAGCUGUUAAUCAAGACACUUCACUAUAAUAGAGAAUGAAAAAUAGUUAAACAGAAAAUUUGGGAUUUUCAACAAAAACAGAAAUAAGUCACAGUUUAAAGUCACCACAGAAAGCGUUCUGUAGUAUCAGACUGUUGAUUCCAACAGGAUACAAUUUUCAGGAAGAAUUUAUGUUCUUUUGUUUGUGCAGUCCCUCACAAGGACACAGCUAAUAUGCCUUCAUAGACUUACAUUUCUACAGUGACAUUUCCUUAAGAAAACAAUUCAAGCAGUUUUCAAAGGCUCAUGAGAUACAGGAAGUUCUCAGAAACAGAGGCAUGAUAAGCUGAACACUGCUCUCAAUUGCUCUGACUUGUAACUGAAACAAUCCAGAAUUUAUGCUGCUGUACCUGACACAAGACUUUGACUCACCAUCACUGACUUCAUAUGCUGUGCCACAUGAAGCAGGCUGCCUUAUUGUUGAAAGAAAAUCAGUGGCAAUGUCAAUUCAGAUUUUGUCUUAAAAAAACAUGGAUACUUUGUAUGCAGAGACAUGGUCCAUUCAUCAUACAUAUGUAUUUUUAAAUGACAUCACAUGUUUUUACAAAGAAGUGCAUCUUCUCUAUAUUGAAAAAAAUCAACUGUAUGGGUCAAUAUUUCUGUAGUGAACAACAAAGGUCUCCAAUAAAUAAAAAUUCUGGUAUAAGCUAA